rnacentral:rRNA from 1 species
GAAUCCUGACACAGGGAGGUAGUGACAAGAAAUAACAAUACAGGGCUACUUCUAGUCUUGUAAUUGGAAUGAGUACAACUUACAUCUCUUCACGAGGAUCAAUUGGAGGGCAAGUCUGGUGCCAGCAGCCGCGGUAAUUCCAGCUCCAAUAGCGUAUAUUAAAGUUGUUGCAGUUAAAAAGCUCGUAGUCGGAUUUCGGGGCGGGCSCAGCGGUCUGCCGAUGGGUAUGCACUGUUGGGCGCGUCCUUCUUUCCGGAGACCGCGCCUACUCUUARCUGAGCGGGMGCGGGAGACGGAUCGUUUACUUUGAAAAAAUCAGAGUGUUUCAAGCAGGCAGCUCGCUCUUGCAUGGAUUAGCAUGGGAUAAUGAAAUAGGACUCUGGUGCUAUUUUGUUGGUUUCGAACACUGGAGUAAUGAUUAACAGGGACAGUCA